UUGAAUGUAUAAUAAAUCGUUAGUUACAACAAACAUAAUUCCUCAGUAGCUCAGUGGUAGAGCAAUCGGCUG
rnacentral:tRNA from 1 species